rnacentral:rRNA from 1 species
UGGGGAAUAUUGGACAAUGGGGGCAACCCUGAUCCAGCCAUGCCGCGUGCGCGAUGAAGGCCUUAGGGUUGUAAAGCGCUUUCGCCCGCGACGAUGAUGACGGUAGCGGGAGAAGAAGCCCCGGCUGAGUCCGUGCCAGCAGCGGGGGUAAUACGGAGGGGGCGAGCGUUGUUCGGAAAGACUCGGCGUAAAGGGCGCGUAGGCGGCCGGUUUCGUCAGAUGUGAAAGCCCCGGGCUCAACCUGGGAGGUGCAUUUGAUACGGGUCGGCUUGAAUCCGGGAGAGGAUGGUGGAAGUCCCAGUGUAGAGGUGAAAUUCGUAGAUAUUGGGAAGAACACCGAUGGCGAAGGCAGCCAUCUGGCCCGGGAUUGACGCUGAGGCGCGAAAGCGUGGGGAGCAAACAGGAUUAGAUACCC